GACGAACGCUGGCGGCGUGCUUAACACAUGCAAGUCGAACGAAGUGGCGAACGGGUGAGUAACGCGUAAUUAACCUGCCCUUCAGAGGUGGACAACAGUUGGAAACGACUGCUAAUACCGUAUACUGAAGGAGGGGAUUGCGUCUGAUGAGUUAGUUGGAGGGGUAACGGCCCACAAAGGCGAUGAUCAGUAGCCGGUCUGAUAGAAUGACCUGCACCAUUUGGACUGCGACACGGCCCAGACUCCUACGGGAGGCAGCAGGUGGGAAUCUUCCGCAAUGGACGAAAGUCUGACGGAGCAACGCCGCGUGAUUGAUGACGGCCUUCGGGUGGUAAAGCUCUGUUAAUCGGGACGCGGUACCGGAAUAGAAAGCCACGGCUAACUACGUGCCAGCAGCCGCGGUAAUAC
rnacentral:rRNA from 1 species